AUGCGCGUUCUAUGAAACCUCGCGGCGCACUCCGACAGGGACGUCUGCUUUGUUGGGACGUCUUUUGAAGUUCAGCCGCUGCCAAGUAAGCUAGUUUUAUUUGUGUAUUCUGUUAAAUGGUGUGAUUUUAUCCAGCUAUUUUAGGGAGAGCAAUACGGUAACUGGAACUUACACCAACUAGCCGACUUCGUUAGCUAGCCAACUCCAGCUUCAAACUCGCCCAGGUAUUCAAGCAAACCCCUCAUCUCGUUCACACGUCACCAUGACGGACGCUCCACUCCUUACAACUCAAGAUGUAAUGCAGUACACCACUGCCAUUCCCACCCAGACGGACUCCACUGUGAUCGGAGUGGUGAUCGCGCUGGUGCUGCUGACCAUGGCGGGCCUGGCCUUCCUGCUGUACCGCUACCUGUGCCACAGCAGGGGGGCCUACAGGACCACAGGAGAGCCCGCCCCCGGGGAGGACUACGAGCCCGUCGAC